rnacentral:rRNA from 1 species
UACAGAGGGUGCGAGCGUUAAUCGGAAUUACUGGGCGUAAAGGGCGCGUAGGCGGUCUUAUAAGUUGGUUGUGAAAUCCCUGGGCUUAACCUAGGAACUGCAAACAAUACUGUAAGACUGGAGUGCGGUAGAGGGUAGUGGAAUUUCCGGUGUAGCGGUGAAAUGCGUAGAUAUCGGAAGGAACACCAGUGGCGAAGGCGGCUACCUGGACUGACACUGACGCUGAGGCGCGAGAGCGUGGGGAGCAAAC